rnacentral:rRNA from 1 species
ACUCAAAUGAAUUGACGGGGACCCGCACAACCAGUGGAGCAUGUGGUUUAAUUCGAGACGAACCGAAGAACCUUACCGGGGUUUGACAUUCUAGCUGCACGUCUUAAGAAAUUAGGACUUCUUCGAGAGUGCUAGAACAGGUGUUGCAUGGCUGUCGUCAGCUCGUGCCGUGGGGUGUUCCCUUCAGUGGGGUAACGAGCGCAACCCUUGUCGUAUGUUAAAUUAUUCAUACGAGACUACCCAAUUUAUUUGGGAGGAAGUGGGGACGAUGUCAAGUCAGCAUGGCCCUUAUGUCCCGGGCGACACACAUGCUACAAUGGCGCAAACAAAGGGUUGCCAAGCAGUAAUGCGGAGCUAAUCCCAUAAAUUGCGUCUCAGUGGGGAUUGGGGGCUGAAACUCGCCCUCAUGAACGCGGAAUUGGUAGUAAUCGCGAAUCAGCCAAGUCGCGGUGAAUACGUUCUCGGGUCUUGUACACACCGCCCGU